rnacentral:lncRNA from 8 species
CGAAGAUUCUGGGAGGACAAGUUAAGGGAACUAAGGGAACCCGAGAGGCAGCCCCAAUAAUUUUUUUUGGGGGGGGUACAAGGGCUGUUUGGCGGGGCGAGAUUGGAGCCCCAGGCCAGCUCCCCGUACCCUUGUAGGGCAGAGACAGACUGGACAGGUCCCGUGCUUUGGGGUUGGGGCUGUGGUGAGGCCUGGGAUUUUCAGGCCGGUAGGCACAGUACCAGCGCCCCGCAUGUACCAGGGCGAAGUGAGCAUCGAGCCGGAAGGAGUGAUGCCAACCCUGCGCUCAAGACCGCCAGUGCGCCUCUACGGUCCGGUGUUUCCCGCUAUACGCACUAGCAUGGAGGUGCGUGUCUCCAGGCUGGCACGUCCAGUACCAGCCCCACACAUCAGGUGUCUAGUGCGUCAGCCCAGCCUCGCCAGUCAAGAGUCACCAGAGCUGCCCGCCAGUCAAGAGUCGCCAGAGCUGCCCGCCAGUCAAGAGUUGCCAGAGCUGCCCACCAGUCAGGAGUUGCCAGAGCUGCCCGCCAGUCAGGAGUCGCCAGAGCUGCCCGCCAGUCAGGAGUCGCCAGAGCUGCCCGCCAGUCAGGAGUCGCCAGAGCUGCCCGCCAGUCAGGAGUCGCCAGAGCUGCCCGCCAGUCAGGAGUCGCCAGAGCUGCCCGCCAGUCAGGAGUCGCCAGAGCUGCCCGCCAGUCAGGAGUCGCCAGAGCUGCCCGCCAGUCAGGAGCCGCCAGAGCCGCCCGCCAGUCAGGAGCGGUCAGAGCGGCCCGACUGCCCGGAGCUGUCAGAGUGGCCCGACUGCCCGGAGCUGCCAGAGUGGCCCGACUGCCCGGAGCUGCCAGAGUGGCCCGACUGCCCGGAGCUGCCAGAGUGGCCCGACUGCCCGGAGCUGCCAGAGUGGCCCGACUGCCCGGAGCUGCCAGAGUGGCCCGACUGCCCGGAGCUGCCAGAGUGGCCCGACUGCCCGGAGCUGCCAGAGUGGCCCGACUGCCCGGAGCUGCCAGAGUGGCCCGACUGCCCGGAUCAGUUAGAGUGGCCCGUCUGCCCGGAUCUGCCAGAGUGGCCCGCCUGCCCGGAUCUGCCAGUGGCCCGCCUGCCCUCCGGUCCAGCUCGAGUGGCCCGCCUGCCCUCCGGCCCAGCCCGAGUGGCCCGCCUGCCCUCCGGCCCAGCCCGAGUGGCCCGCCUGCCAGGGUC